UGAGGAAUAUUGGUCAAUGGGCGCAAGCCUGAACCAGCCAUGCCGCGUGCAGGAUGACGGUCCUAUGGAUUGUAAACUGCUUUUGUACGAGAAGAAACAACAUUACGUGUAAUGUCUUGACGGUAUCGUAAGAAUAAGGAUCGGCUAACUCCAUG
rnacentral:rRNA from 1 species